UACGAAGGGGGCUAGCGUUGCUCGGAAUCACUGGGCGUAAAGGGUGCGUAGGCGGGUCUUUAAGUCAGGGGUGAAAUCCUGGAGCUCAACUCCAGAACUGCCUUUGAUACUGAGGAUCUUGAGUACGGGAGAGGUGAGUGGAACUGCGAGUGUAGAGGUGAAAUUCGUAGAUAUUCGGAAGAACACCAGUGGCGAAGGCGACUCACUGGCCCGUUACUGACGCUGAGGCGCGAAAGCGUGGGGAGCAAACAGG
rnacentral:rRNA from 1 species